ACGAACGCUGGCGGCGUGCUUAACACAUGCAAGUCGAACGGAAAGGCCCUGCUUUUGUGGGGUGCUCGAGUGGCGAACGGGUGAGUAACACGUGAGUAACCUGCCCUUGACUUUGGGAUAACUUCAGGAAACUGGGGCUAAUACCGGAUAGGAGCUCCUGCUGCAUGGUGGGGGUUGGAAAGUUUCGGCGGUUGGGGAUGGACUCGCGGCUUAUCAGCUUGUUGGUGGGGUAGUGGCUUACCAAGGCUUUGACGGGUAGCCGGCCUGAGAGGGUGACCGGCCACAUUGGGACUGAGAUACGGCCCAGACUCCUACGGGAGGCAGCAGUGGGGAAUAUUGCACAAUGGGCGGAAGCCUGAUGCAGCAACGCCGCGUGCGGGAUGACGGCCUUCGGGUUGUAAACCGCUUUCGCCUGUGACGAAGCGUGAGUGACGGUAAUGGGUAAAGAAGCACCGGCUAACUAUGUG
rnacentral:rRNA from 1 species